AGCCAUAUCACAUUGAAACACCAGUUCCCAUACGAUCUUCGAAGUUAAGCAAUCUUGAGCUUGGUCAGUACUUAGAUGGGUGACUGCUUGGGAAUACCAGGUGCUGUAA